UCCAAUCCUGCCAAUCUCUGGUUCCAUGGUCACUAACCAUUCGAGUGAGACGACAGAGGCAGAGGACAUAGUGGUGGUGGGUCAAGAAGAAGAAGAUGAAGCAGAGGCGGCUUCUUGGUUGUUGCCUACUUCAGUUAAAAACUGUGGUGACAACAACAAUAACAACAACAACAGUCAGGACAAUAGGUUCUCGGUUGGUGAAGAGUAUCUGGACCUUGUCGAUUACAGUAAGUAUCAACAAGACUACAACGUACCUCAGAGGAGGAGCUAUGUGGCAGAUGGGGUUGUUCCACUUCAGGUUGAAGUAUCAAAGAGUCUGAGUCACAUGCACCACGAGCAACACAACUUUCAGUUUGGUUUCACCAAUGUCUCCUCAGAAGCUUCCCCAAUUCAUAUGGUUAGUCUUGUGCCAGAGUCAACAUUGAGUGAGACAACAGUUUCAAACCCAAGAUCGCCCAAAGCGGCAACGGAGGAAUUACCUGAAGCCCCAGUUCAGAUGCUGAGUCCAAUGGAGAGAAAGGCUAGGGUGAUGAGGUAUAGAGAGAAGAAGAAGACAAGGAAGUUUGAGAAGACGAUAAGGUAUGCUUCAAGGAAAGAGUAUGCAGAGAAAAGACCAAGGAUCAAAGGCCGGUUUGCAAAGAGGAACGAAGUUGAUGCAGAGGAGGCAGACAAAGCUUUCUCCUCAAUGGUCAUGUUUGACACAGGAUAUGGAAUUGUUCCUUCAUUCUGAUAAUACUCGUAUGGUUUAACUAGAUUCCAUGCUUGUAGUUAUCACCACUGUAAUGCAAAUAGGUCUCUAUUUUUGUCUAACUAGUACGAAUUAAUUAGAUAUAUUUUUAUUUUGCUGUUGUAGUUACUAUCCUUAAGUCUAAAUUCAAACCGAUGCUAUAGAGAUAUGUGCGUUACUUUAGCUAGAUGUACCAAGAACAGUUAACAAUGAACUCACCUUGCAAAAAGGUUCAGACAAGUAGUGAUUGCUUUCUUG
rnacentral:lncRNA from 1 species